UGGGGAAUUUUGGACAAUGGGCGAAAGCCUGAUCCAGCAAUGCCGCGUGUGUGAAGAAGGCCUUCGGGUUGUAAAGCACUUUUGUCCGGAAAGAAAUCCUUGGCUCUAAUACAGUCGGGGGAUGACGGUACCGGAAGAAUAAGCACCGGCUAACUACGUGCCAGCAGCCGCGGUAAUACGUAGGGUGCAAGCGUUAAUCGGAAUUACUGGGCGUAAAGCGUGCGCAGGCGGUUUGCUAAGACCGAUGUGAAAUCCCCGGGCUCAACCUGGGGACUGCAUUGGUGACUGGCAGGCUAGAGUAUGGCAGAGGGGGGUAGAAUUCCACGUGUAGCAGUGAAAUGCGUAGAGAUGUGGAGGAAUACCGAUGGCGAAGGCAGCCCCCUGGGCCAAUACUGACGCUCAUGCACGAAAGCGUGGGGAGCAAACAGGAUUAGAUACCCUGGUAGUCCACGCCCUAAACGAUGUCAACCAGUUGUUGGGGAUUCAUUUCCUUAGUAACGUAGCUAACGCGUGAAGUUGACCGCCUGGGGAGUACGGUCGCAAGAUUAAAACUCAAAGGAAUUGACGGGGUCAUAGCUGUUUCCU
rnacentral:rRNA from 1 species